rnacentral:lncRNA from 1 species
GACUUUCUCGACUCGUCGUCAGCCGGGGCCGCAGCGCGGCCGGUGGGGACUGCGGGGCGGGCCGGAGUCCGUCCGAGGGCUCCCGCACCUCGGGCUGCGGAUUUCAGGUACUCCACUGGGCAUUUUCUCUUCAUGGAGCUUAUAGCAACAAAAGUGUUUUACAAAAGAACAUUAAAAUCUCCCCAGAUGCUCACUGCUCUGAUCAUUUCCCCUACAGCACCAGACAUGUUGGCAUCAUCUCUUAGUUGGGCCAUGUGGCCAGGGAACCCUUCAUGAAACCACCUCUGCAGUCCUGGAGAGUUGCUGUAGAAGAAGGAAAAGAGAGGAAGACAACACAACACAGGAGGGGAUAAGUACCUCUGGACACAAUGGA